GAGUGGAGAAGAAAGGAAGGGAGGGAGGAAAAGGGAAGGAAGGAAAGAAAGAAAGGGAGGAAGGGAGGAGGGGAAGGGAGAGGAGAUUGAAGGCCCGCUCGUCGCUUCAUUUGAGUAGUUAGUUUAGUAGACAUGAGACAUAGAAAAAUGUAAGUUAGUUAGUCUAGUGGAUUUUAGACAUAGGAAAGUGUAGCUAAGUUAGAUUAGUGGAUUUAGCUUAGGUAUUUAGUUGACAGUAAAACUAGUUUGUUAAUUUAUGUAGAUUAAUUUUAGAUGAAUAUUAUUUGCAAUGCUAGGGUUAUGUUAUGUAUAGAUAUUCAGGAUGUAGUUGUUUCAGGGGUAGUUAAAAUUA
rnacentral:lncRNA from 1 species